rnacentral:rRNA from 1 species
GACGAACGCUGGCGGCGUGCUUAACACAUGCAAGUCGAACGGUAAGGCCCUUCGGGGUACACGAGUGGCGAACGGGUGAGUAACACGGGGGUGAUCUGACCUGCACUUCGGGAUAAGCCUGGGAAACUGGGUCUAAUACCGGAUAGGACCACUGCCUGCAUGGGUGGUGGUGGAAAGCUUUUGCGGUGGGGGAUGGGCCCGCGGCCUAUCAGCUUGUUGGUGGGGUGAUGGCCUACCAAGGCGACGACGGGUAGCCGGCCUGAGAGGGGGACCGGCCACACUGGGACUGUGAUACGGACCAGACUCCUACGGGAGGCAGCAGUGGGGAAUAUUGCACAAUGGGCGCAAGCCUGAUGCAGCGACGCCGCGUGAGGGAUGACGGCCUUCGGGUUGUAAACCUCUUUCAGCACCGACGAAGCGCGAGUGACGGUAGGUGCAGAAGAAGGACCGGCCAACUACGUGCCAGCAGCCGCAGUAA